AACAAACGCUGGCGGCGUGCCUAAUACAUGCAAGUCGAACGGGGAAAGCUUUCGGGUGAGUACUAGUGGCGCACGGGUGAGGAACGCGUGGAUAAUCUGCCUUAGAGUGGGGGAUAACUAGUCGAAAGAUUAGCUAAUACCGCAUAAGACCACGAGAGCUGCGGCUUUUGAGGUCAAAGGUUUUUCGCUCUAAGAUGAGUCCGCGUAAGAUUAGCUAGUUGGUGAGGUAACGGCUCACCAAGGCGACGAUCUUUAACUGGUCUGAGAGGAUGAUCAGUCACACUGGAACUGAGACACGGUCCAGACUCCUACGGGAGGCGGCAGUAGGGAAUAUUGCACAAUGGAGGAAACUCUGAUGCAGCGACGCCGCGUGAGUGAUGAAGGACUUCGGGUCGUAAAGCUCUGUCGCAGGGGAAUAACACAAUGAAGGUACCCUGUAAGAAAGGAUCGGCUAACUUCGUG
rnacentral:rRNA from 1 species